CGGAGAGUUUGAUCCUGGCUCAGAUUGAACGCUGGCGGCAGGCCUAACACAUGCAAGUCGAGCGGUAGAGAGAAGCUUGCUUCUCUUGAGAGCGGCGGACGGGUGAGUAAUGCCUAGGAAUCUGCCUGGUAGUGGGGGAUAACGUCCGGAAACGGACGCUAAUACCGCAUACGUCCUACGGGAGAAAGCAGGGGACCUUCGGGCCUUGCGCUAUCAGAUGAGCCUAGGUCGGAUUAGCUAGUUGGUGGGGUAAUGGCUCACCAAGGCGACGAUCCGUAACUGGUCUGAGAGGAUGAUCAGUCACACUGGAACUGAGACACGGUCCAGACUCCUACGGGAGGCAGCAGUGGGGAAUAUUGGACAAUGGGCGAAAGCCUGAUCCAGCCAUGCCGCGUGUGUGAAGAAGGUCUUCGGAUUGUAAAGCACUUUAAGUUGGGAGGAAGGGCAGUAAAUUAAUACUUUGCUGUUUUGACGUUACCGACAGAAUAAGCACCGGCUAACUCUGUGCCAGCAGCCGCGGUAAUACAGAGGGUGCAAGCGUUAAUCGGAAUUACUGGGCGUAAAGCGCGCGUAGGUGUUCGUUAAGUUGGAUGUGAAAUCCCCGGGCUCAACCUGGGAACUGCAUUCAAAAC
rnacentral:rRNA from 1 species